AGAGUUUGAUUAUGGCUCAGAAUGAACGCUGGCGGCAUGGAUUAGGCAUGCAAGUCGAACGUACUCCCUUCGGGGAGAAAGUGGCGAAAGGGUGAGUAACACGUGAGCAACCUGCCUCCGGAUCCGGAAUAAUCCAGGGAAACUUGGUCUAAAACCGGAUGAAGACAUUUGGUCCGCAUGGUCUAAUGUUAAAAUAUUUAUAGUCCGGAGAGGGGCUCGCGGCCCAUUAGCUUGUUGGCGGGGUAAUGGCCCACCAAGGCUACGACGGGUAGGUGGUCUGAGAGGAUGGUCACCCACACUGGGACUGAGACACUGCCCAGACUCCUACGGGAGGCUGCAGUCGAGAAUCUUCCGCAAUGGGCGCAAGCCCUGACGGAGCGAUGCCGCGUGAGGGAUGAAGGCCUUCGGGUUGUAAACCUCUGUCAUCCGGGACGAAAACAAUGACGGUACCGGAAAAGGAAGCCACGGCUAACCACGUGCCAGCAGCAGC
rnacentral:rRNA from 1 species